UGGGGUGUAGCUCAGUGGCAGAGCACCCACCUAGCCUGUGUGAGUCUCCAGGUUCAAUCCCUAGUACUACAA
rnacentral:tRNA from 1 species